GACAUCAGGAGGUUAGUGCAAUGGCAUAAGCCAGCUUGACUGCGAGCGUGACGGCGCGAGCAGGUGCGAAAGCAGGUCAUAGUGAUCCGGUGGUUCUGAAUGGAAGGGCCAUCGCUCAACGGAUAAAAGGUACUCCGGGGAUAACAGGCUGAUACCGCCCAAGAGUUCAUAUCGACGGCGGUGUUUGGCACCUCGAUGUCGGCUCAUCACAUCCUGGGGCUGAAGUAGGUCCCAAGGGUAUGGCUGUUCGCCAUUUAAAGUGGUACGCGAGCUGGGUUUAGAACGUCGUGAGACAGUUCGGUCCCUA
rnacentral:rRNA from 1 species